rnacentral:rRNA from 1 species
GAUGAACGCUGGCGGCGUGCUUAACACAUGCAAGUCGAACGGAAAGGCCCAAGCUUGCUUGGGUACUCGAGUGGCGAACGGGUGAGUAACACGUGGGUGAUCUGCCCUGCACUUCGGGAUAAGCCUGGGAAACUGGGUCUAAUACCGGAUAGGACCACAUCUUGGAUGGGGUGGUGGAAAGUUUUUCGGUGUGGGAUGAGCUCGCGGCCUAUCAGCUUGUUGGUGGGGUAAUGGCCUACCAAGGCGUCGACGGGUAGCCGGCCUGAGAGGGUGUACGGCCACAUUGGGACUGAGAUACGGCCCAGACUCCUACGGGAGGCAGCAGUGGGGAAUAUUGCACAAUGGGCGCAAGCCUGAUGCAGCGACGCCGCGUGGGGGAUGACGGCCUUCGGGUUGUAAACUCCUUUCGCUAGGGACGAAGCGCAAGUGACGGUACCUGGAGAAGAAGCACCGGCUAACUACGUG